UAUUCACCACGCGGGUCUUGUUAUGACUUUCACUUGCACCGGCCAGUGAGGAAUAUUCGUUAUUAUUAUUAAAUAACAAACAUUUUAAAUUUCUAUCGGAUAAUUCAUUUAUUGGUUUUACAAGACGGGUGGCGUACUUUUGUAUCAGUUAUGAAGACGCGUGGUACGGCAAAGGCCCUCACAAUACGUACAUUUUUCUCUCACAAACGGGUAUUUUAAUAUGGCAAAUAUUUGGUUAGCUUCACAACUGAGGAUUUAUAUACAUAUGUAUGUAUGGUCGUAUGUAUAUACAAAUGUAUGCAGUUUAUGUAUUCAGCUGUUUUUGGUAUUAGUUAAUUUAAGUGGAUACACUUUAUAUCAUUUCUUGUUUACAUUCCUGUAAAUAUUCAAUUAAGUAACAAUUUUUAUUGAUUUGCAAUGACAGCGCAGUUGACCGCAAUUUAACUGCCUCUUAUCACAUUCAACUCCAAACACAUGUGCACAUACACACUCACUUCAACACGUCAGCUGUAUAUCGACAAACGCCGAGUGGGCGCGGAGUCCAAAUGGUAUUACCAAACUCAUCCAGUGCAAUCAAUGGAAAAGCUCGUACAGCAAAAAAAAGCGCAUGGAAUGUGCCCGUUUGUAAAUAUGUAUGUAUAUGCAUGCAUACAUACGCGCAUAUGUAUCACUUCUUCCCAUCGACCUUUAUGCGUUUUUUUUUAUUGCUUAUCGCUAAUGUUCUUACAUAAUUGCGAUUUAUUAAAAAAUAUACACUUUUUAUAUGUAGAUUGACAUACUGACAAAUAACUCCAAAUUGAUAUGAAGACAAUCACCUUCUUAAAUAAAAAAACGCUUAUGCUGAAAAUUUUUUGAGGUACUAUUGUUAUGCGAUUUGUGUCGAAUUUUUUAUUUGAUUUUAAUUAAUUUUAGCUUCCCACUCCGCGUCUAACUUGCACUGAGUUUUGGUUUUCGGUAUGUAUUCACUUUAUUAUAGAAACUAAUAUUUCAACCGUUUCCGUCGGCAGUGUACGGAAAA